rnacentral:rRNA from 1 species
GAAGACGGCCAUAGUAGUCUGGUCACACCUGUUCCGAUUCCCAACACAGAAGUUAAGCAGGCUACGUCAUGGGUGUUAGUUUCAGAAAUGAAGUGAAGUCCUGAUGCUGUCUUCA